rnacentral:tRNA from 1 species
AGGGCAGUAGCUCUAAUGGUAGAGCGAACGACUCCAAAUCGUUAGGUUGCAGGUUCGACCCCUGUCUGCCCUGCCA